AAUUUGGAUUUUAGUAAAUACCACCGCCCCUAAUGUUAGGGAACUGAAAAUAUAACAUACCUCUGUUAAGGACACAAUGAGAUCCAUGUAGCAAGGAGCAAUUAGGUAUAGAAAGCAAUUAGGAUUUAUGCAGGUUUCACUUGAGGUCAGAUAGUUAUUCUGCAAUGAAAGCUUAUUUGUUUUUGCACUAGAAUAAUAAAUAUGAAGGAGCAAGCUAGUAUAUAACUAGCAGGUAGUUAGCAGGAGUUGAAAUGAAAGGGUUAAGCUCCCACUAGCAGUGACUGCAGGCAAAGCUGCCUUAAUGAAUCAGACAAACUAGGAACUCAGAACACAACUAGUUCUACUAUAUCUGUAACAAAGUAUCAUGUCCUGGAAAGCUCUAGGUAAAAAUAACAGGUCCUCCUCAAAAGUAAAUCAGAUACACACAAGCUCAGGAGAUUCUGAAUACAGCCACACAAACAACCUGGACAGACAGAACUUAACAAAUAGCAACUUACCACUAACACAGAAUCAGGAAUCAGACCCACUAACUAGAAAUCUCACACUACACUUUAGCAAAGUCUCUAGAACACAAAACCACCUCUCUCCCUCUUCACAACCUGUAACUCAGUGUGACCAGCUGACCAAGGGAUAUUCAUUGCUUCCUCUCAAAGUUGAUUGAUUACCACUCUUGCAAUGAUUAACUCUUCCAUUUCCAAGUAAACCAGAAGUAGGAAUUCCCAAAAGUCUCACACCAUUAUGGACUUACAAAUGGGAGACUGUUAACCAUUUCCUAAUCCAUCCAGAACAUACCAGUUACAUCCAGUGACUUGUCGCAUACUCACUUUCCAGUAAAAUCAGACCCCUCUCAGGUUGUGUUUCAGGACACUUUAUUUGGAGAUGCCUAUAUUUUCUGGUCUUUCAAAUUCAAGCACAUAACAAUACUAUUGGCUUUUCCUCACCCUGGUAUUAAUGCUGUGCUCAAGUUGCAGUUGUAUGCUGCACAAUAGCCUACCUGUUAAUAGGGGUAACGGAUACCACUUCAUGUGAGGCUGUGUAUAUCUAAAAUUCCUACAGAUUUUGUUAUGCAGAAAUAAAAUAGGAAUAGUAACGGCAGAUCUGGAUAACUGACUUCUCUAUGCAAACCAUAAAAAUUGAUAGCAAAACAUUUUCCUAAAUUAUACUACUACAACUCCCAUUAUUACAACUUUUCAGCAAUCAACUUUUCUGUUCUGACAGCAGCAUCCCUUGUGAGUAGGACAUCCCCAGCACUUGAAGCCAAUGGAAGUUGAACUCCUCACAUAUAACAAGUCAAUAAUUAUUCACAUACAUACACAGCUUUCCUCUGCUGCACCAACAGCCCUUGUUUUUCUUAAGACCUCACCAUAACCGCAGAAAGAACAGUCAAGGAUAUAAAUGGAUUUAAUGGGGAUAUACUUCAGAGAUCUCAAAGAAAGGCUCUACUGACAUCUGGGCCAGCCUCACCGCUUCACAUGAUCGUGUUUCGUAUAUGUAAGCGUCACAGCAAUUCAACUUCCUGACUUAUAUUAUGAGCAGACUUCGUCCCAAGGCCUGUGGGGAGUUUUUAUUUUUAUUAUGGUUCUCCAUGGAAACUUCACACCACCUACUUCAAAUCCUUUCUUAAUUAUGAACACAAAAUACAACAUUUUAUUGCUGAUGUUCGUCAUUUCCUUUUGUAUUCACCAAAAAAUGUGUUUCGAUACAUUACACAUUGAUGCUGCAAAGGUUAAAGUUUUCGUUUUUCUUCAAGACUUGAAUAUGAAGGCCUUGCUUUAAGUCAUCAAAAGGCUGUUUCAAGAAAAAAAAAAGCUUAUUUAGGGAAAUUGUACUGGUAUGGGAUCCAUUAUCCAGAAACCCAUUAACCCGUUUAGCUACGAAUUGCAGGAAAGACAUCUGCCAUAGACUUAAUUUUAAUCAAAUAGUAUAUGUAGUUCUAAUAUGGGAGAUCUACCAAAGGGAUAUUUCCAUUCUAACUACUUAUGAAAUUUUGGAAUUUUCAAAAUCAUGGGUAAAAACACUGCAACAUAAAAUUACUAAUAAUUAAUAAAAAACUAUUUUGCCAAAGAAUCACUUAAUAUCAACAAUAACAACCCCCAAUUAGGUUAUAUUUAUCCCCUGAUUAAAAUAGACUUAUUGCAAAUAAUAACUGGUAUCUAUAUCAAAUAGAAAUCAAAUUCCAAAACACCAAUACUGAAGGCAUAAGCAUAUUUUUUUUAAACAAAUAUGUGAAUAAAAGGUUGCCAAAAUGAAAUCAUACUGAUAAAAUUCUUACAGCAGUGAAGAAAGAAUAUGGCUUUACUGUAUGGUUUCCGGUUCUAUAUAAUCUAAUGGACUUAGAUGGCUGGCUUGUGUAAAAAUAAGAAGGAAAAACUUUAGCCCCUAUUCUGAGGUAGACAUGCUCUGUGAGAGGGUUAGGAAUUCUUACUGAUAUAAACUUGUUUGGUGGUGUCCACUGGCGUAGCUAUAGAGGAAGCAGACCCUGUGGGUCUGUUUGCUCUUUAGUGUUGAAACCCUGUCGUGUUAUUUUUUCUUUUUAAAUUAAUGCGCUCACACCUCAGCGAGCGCACAAGCAGCAGGGGGCAUCUACGCAGGGCCCUCCGUACAUUUUUCUUGCAAGGGGGCCCAGCAUGCUGUUGUUAUGCCCCUGGUGGAGUCCUACUUAUUGUUAGAUGGGGAAGCCUUAUUUGUACCAUGUAGUUCUCUUAGACUCCCCUUAUUGAUGAGGGGACAGUGCUGGGAGCCUGGGAUAUGAAAGACUCCAAUGAAGAAAAAAAUGUGUGGAUCUCAGUGGGAAGACCAACCCUGUGAAUGAGGGAUAGCUUGCUAGUUCAGGGGUCUUUAUCCUUGAUGUCACAUUCAAACUUAAAACAAGUUGGGGAGCAAUACAAUACCCUGGAGAUGCCAAAUAGGGCUGUGAUUGGCUAUUGGUAUCUCCUAUGUGGACUUGCCUGGUUUUUAUACAACCAAAACUAGCCUCCAAGCCUGGAAUUUAAUAAUAAGCACCUGCUUUGAGGAAACUUUGAGCAACAUCCAAGGGGUUGGUGAGCAACAGGUUGCUUGUGAGCCACUGGGUGGGGAUCACUGGGCUAGAUCUUACUUUUAGUUGAGGAACAUUAGUUGUUAAAGCUAGAUAUUAGUGUAGUCUAAAGCUCCACCUGGUUUGCCACCAGUGUAGGAACUCACAGCAGUGUAGGAACUCACUUGCAGCAUCCAAUAGUUCAAAAGACCAUGGCUACCUUGUCGUGGUGCUCUAUCCAGAAACCUUGCUGCUUAACUUGGUUCCAGUAUUCCAUAUAGUAUAAGAAGUCGGAUGGCACACACUGUGGCAAUUGUGCUAAAACAUAAGU